GGGCAGUAGGAAGGUACUGGGACAGAAGGUGCCUGCCUUGCUGUCAGCGGAAUGGAAAAUCUCAAACCAAGUGCUCAAAGAUGUGUUCUAAUUAUUAUCACUUCUGAUUCUUUGCCUUAACCUUUGAGAGAUUAUUGGACCAAAAGACCUCAGAUCUUAAAUUCUCCCCCUGAUAAAUUUUGAAGAACAAACACUUUGAAAGAUCACACUUAAAGGAAUUCUGUGGUCCUUUAGAAAGGCUCCGCUGAAAACUUCAACCUGACUUUGAUCAUUCCUUUGCCAACUCAGAGCGAUGGACACAUUCCCUCCCUCACUGAUUUCAAUAAGAAAAGAAGUAUAAACAAAGAGAAAGUCAACUCCACAAUCUCGAGAACUCCCUACAUCCUGCGGGAGAGAGGCGAGGGAGAGGACUCAGAAGAGGCUGCGAAGGCAUCGAGUUCCAGAGGCCUCGGCCGCUUCAAGUCUUCGGGUGUUACUGUCUCUUUAAGGAGGCUGAGCUCUACACAGUGAAGUAGAAGUUCCGCCCCCCACCUCUCUGGUUUCCGGUAGUACUCGGAGGGACCGGAACCUACGUGGAGCAUCUGAGGCUCCAUCCUUCACUGGGGGCUGGACACUGAGCACCCCCCGCCUCCCCGCCCGGCCCCCCAGACUUCUGCAAAUUUGCUUCCUAAUAUUUGGAAGAAGACCCACGGGCUGAAUGGCAGCUGUAGAUGACUUGCAGUUUGAAGAAUUUGGUGAUGUAGCCACUUCUCUAGCGACAAAUGCAGAUGCCACCACGAUAAGCAUUGAGGGUCCUGGGGAAACUCCCAGACAUCAGCCAGGACCCCCAAGAAGCUCUGGGAGAGAAGAGGAUGAUGAACUACUGGGAAACGAUGAGUCUGACAAAACUGAGUUACUUGCUGGACAGAAGAAAAGCUCCCCUUUCUGGACCUUUGAAUACUAUCAAACAUUUUUCGACGUGGACACGUACCAGGUCUUUGACAGAAUAAAAGGGUCUCUUUUGCCAAUACCAGGAAAAAACUUCGUGAGGUUAUAUAUCCGCAGCAACCCAGAUCUCUACGGCCCCUUUUGGAUAUGCGCCACGCUGGUCUUUGUCAUCGCCAUCAGUGGGAAUCUCUCCAACUUCUUAAUCCAUCUGGGAGAGAAGACGUACCAUUAUGUACCCGAAUUCCGGAAAGUGUCCAUGGCAGCCACAGUCAUCUAUGCCUACGCCUGGCUGGUCCCUCUUGCACUCUGGGGCUUCCUCCUGUGGAGAAACAGCAAAGUCAUGAACAUCGUUUCCUAUUCGUUUCUGGAGAUCGUGUGCGUCUACGGAUACUCGCUCUUCAUUUACAUCCCCACGGCAGUACUGUGGAUUAUCCCCCAGAAGGCCAUUCGCUGGAUCCUCGUCAUGAUGGCCCUGGGCAUCUCAGGCUCUGUCUUGGCAAUGACGUUUUGGCCAGCUGUUCGGGAGGAUAGCCGGCGUGUUGCAUUGGCCACCAUCGUGACGAUUGUGUUGCUGCACAUGCUGCUUUCUGUGGGCUGCUUGGCGUACUUUUUUGAUGCACCAGAGGUGGAACAUCUCCCAACAACUACAGUUGUUCCAAACCAGACAGUGAUAGCAGCCAAGUCCAGCUAAAGAAGAAAUUUCCCUGUGACUUUUCCACCUGGCCUCAGGCUCUGAAUGUGACCUCUCUUAAAUUACCCAUGACUUCUCUAAAGCUUACAAAUGCCUGUCUGGUUCUUUCCGACACCAAAGGCAACAGGAAAACUGACAGAAUGGCACGAACCCCCUACAAUCCAGUCUGUCUGGUGCCACACUGAAGCCUGAUUGCCCGUUUACCAAACAGAAAUUAAACGUUGUUCAGCACAUGUGUCUUUCAGCUCUUCUGUCUUGACCGUCCACGGUUGUUGUGACCGCGCACUGAUUUGGAGUGAAAUGUGAGGGCGUGGGCUGGGCGGGCUCAGGCGCCUUCACCUCUCCAGCCUCGUGAUGUGCUUCACCCUCAGUACGUCCUUCAUUCCUGAAGUGGAUCCAUCCCAACUUCCCAUGUCUUUUCUCUGAACUGUGUACAGAUUUCCUCCUCUCCCCGAAUGCUUGCCACCCUAAAGUGGCCAAACAGCAUGAACUUCGGUUGUGAUUUAUUAGGCACCUGAAAACUUGUCUUUGGUGACCUGGCAUUGGGUGACUGAACCUAAUGGUUGCAAAAUAAAUACCUCACCCAACAGCUGUGUCUGCACU